AUGAAGACCUAUAGGCAGAGAGAGAAACAGGGGAGCUAGGUGCAAGAGUCCACAAAGGGACCUGAUGAAGCAAAGAUCAAGGCCUUGCUUGAGAGAACUGGUUAUACUCUGAAUGUAACCACAGGACACAGGAAGUAUGGUGGGCCUCCAUCAAACAGUGUGUACUCUGGCAUGCAACCUGGAAUUGGAACAAAGCUGUGAAACUGUGACAGCUAUGAAAUUCGCCCUUUGGUAAACAACAUGGAGUGCGCAUUUCUGUGGCAAACAACAGACUUUUUGUUGGAUCCAUUCUGAAGAAUAACACUAAAGAAAAUAUUCUGGAAGAAUUCAGUAAAGUCACAGAGGGUUCGGUGGACGUUAUUCUCUAUCAUCAACCUGAUGACAAAAAGAAGAAAUGGGAGUUCUGCUUCCUGGAAUAUGAGGAUCACAAGCCAGAUGCCGGCUGAUGAGUGGAAAAGUAAAAGUAUGGGGAAAUGCAGUUACAGCUGAAUGGACUGACCCUGUGAAGAACCAGAUCCAGAAGUUAUAGCUAAGGUAAAAGUAUUGUUUGUGAGAAAUUUGGGCACAGACGAAAUAUUGGAAAAGUCAUUUUCUGAAUUUGGAGAACUUCAAAGAGUAAAUAAGUUGAAAGAUUAUGCAUUUGUUCAUUCUGAAGACAGAGGAGCAGUCGUUAAGGCUAUGGAUGAAAUGAAUGGCAAAGAAAUAGAAGGGGAAGAACUUGAAAUAGUCUUAGCCAAGCCACCAGACAAGAAAAGGAAAGAGCACCAAGCUGCUAGACAGGCCUCCAGAAGCACUGCAUAUGAAGAUUAUCACUACAUCCUCCUCCUCGCAUGCUGCCUCCGAUUAGAGGUUGGGGGAGAGGUGGAUAUGGCUACCCUCCAGAUCACUAUGGCACGAAGAUUACUAUGGUUAUUAUUAUCACAACUAUCAUGGAGGUUAUGAAAACUCCCUACUACAGCUAUGAUGAUGGCUAUGCAGUAACAGAAAGAGGAGGAAGGGGAGGGCAGGGUGCUCCACCACCACCAAGGGGGAGGGGAGCACCACCUCCAAGAGGUAGAGCUGGCUAUUAACAAAGGGGGGCACCUUUGGGACCACCAAGAGGCUCUAGGGGUGGCAGAGGGGGUCCUGCACAACAGCAGAGAGGCCGUGGCUGCGGUUCCCGUGGAUCUUGGGGCAAUCAGGAGGCAAUGUAGGAGGCAAGAGAAGGCAGAUGCUUACAACCAACCUGAUUCCAAGCAUCGUCAGACCAACCAGCAGAACUGGGUCUCUCAACCCAUCGCUCAGCAGCCACUUCAGCAAGGUGGUGACUAUUCUGGUAACUAUGGUUACAAUAAUGACAACCAGGAAUUUUAUCAGGAUACUCAUAGGUAACAGUGGAAGUAG